rnacentral:rRNA from 1 species
UACGAAGGGGGCUAGCGUUGCUCGGAAUCACUGGGCGUAAAGCGCACGUAGGCGGCUUACUAAGUCAGGGGUGAGAUCCUGGAGCUCAACUCCAGAACUGCCUUUGAUACUGGUGAGCUUGAGUCCGGAAGAGGUGAGUGGAACUGCGAGUGUAGAGGUGAAAUUCGUAGAUAUUCGCAAGAACACCAGUGGCGAAGGCGGCUCACUGGUCCGGUACUGACGCUGAGGUGCGAAAGCGUGGGGAGCAAACAGG